CACGGAGUUAGCCGAUGCUUUUUCUUCGGGUACUCUCACAGUCUCCACACGUGAAGACCAUUGGCUCCCCGACAAAAGAGGUUUACAAUCCAUAGGACCGUCUUCCCUCACGCGACUUGGCUGGUUCAGGCUCGCGCCCAUUGACCAAUAUUCCUCACUGCUGCCUCCCGUAGGAGUCUGGUCCGUGUCUCAGUACCAGUGUGGGGGACCUUCCUCUCAGAACCCCUACGCAUCGUCGCCUUGGUGGGCCGUUACCCCGCCAACCAGCUAAUGCGCCGCAUCGCCCAUCCGUCACCGGAAUUGCUUCCUUUCGACCCCGAAGGGGACUCGGUCCCCUGGGGUACUCGACGUCGGUAUUACGGUCCGGUAUUUCGUCCGGGUUAUUCCCCGUGUCGACGGGCAGGUUGCAUACGUGUUAC
rnacentral:rRNA from 1 species